AAGUCGAACGAACUCUGGUAUUGAUUGGUGCUUGCAUCAUGAUUUACAUUUGAGUGAGUGGCGAACUGGUGAGUAACACGUGGGAAACCUGCCCAGAAGCGGGGGAUAACACCUGGAAACAGAUGCUAAUACCGCAUAACAACUUGGACCGCAUGGUCCGAGUUUGAAAGAUGGCUUCGGCUAUCACUUUUGGAUGGUCCCGCGGCGUAUUAGCUAGAUGGUGGGGUAACGGCUCACCAUGGCAAUGAUACGUAGCCGACCUGAGAGGGUAAUCGGCCACAUUGGGACUGAGACACGGCCCAAACUCCUACGGGAGGCAGCAGUAGGGAAUCUUCCACAAUGGACGAAAGUCUGAUGGAGCAACGCCGCGUGAGUGAAGAAGGGUUUCGGCUCGUAAAACUCUGUUGUUAAAGAAGAACAUAUCUGAGAGUAACUGUUCAGGUAUUGACGGUAUUUAACCAGAAAGCCACGGCUAACUACGUGCCAGCAGCCGCGGUAAUACGUAGGUGGCAAGCGUUGUCCGGAUUUAUUGGGCGUAAAGCGAGCGCAGGCGGUUUUUUAAGUCUGAUGUGAAAGCCUUCGGCUCAACCGAAGAAGUGCAUCGGAAACUGGGAAACUUGAGUGCAGAAGAGGACAGUGGAACUCCAUGUGUAGCGGUGAAAUGCGUAGAUAUAUGGAAGAACACCAGUGGCGAAGGCGGCUGUCUGGUCUGUAACUGACGCUGAGGCUCGAAAGUAUGGGUAGCAAACAGGAUUAGAUACCCUGGUAGUCCAUACCGUAAACGAUGAAUGCUAAGUGUUGGAGGGUUUCCGCCCUUCAGUGCUGCAGCUAACGCAUUAAGCAUUCCGCCUGGGGAGUACGGCCGCAAGGCUGAAACUCAAAGGAAUUGACGGGGGCCCGCACAAGCGGUGGAGCAUGUGGUUUAAUUCGAAGCUACGCGAAGAACCUUACCAGGUCUUGACAUACUAUGCAAAUCUAAGAGAUUAGACGUUCCCUUCGGGGACAUGGAUACAGGUGGUGCAUGGUUGUCGUCAGCUCGUGUCGUGAGAUGUUGGGUUAAGUCCCGCAACGAGCGCAACCCUUAUUAUCAGUUGCCAGCAUUAAGUUGGGCACUCUGGUGAGACUGCCGGUGACAAACCGGAGGAAGGUGGGGAUGACGUCAAAUCAUCAUGCCCCUUAUGACCUGGGCUACACACGUGCUACAAUGGAUGGUACAACGAGUUGCGAACUCGCGAGAGUAAGCUAAUCUCUUAAAGCCAUUCUCAGUUCGGAUUGUAGGCUGCAACUCGCCUACAUGAAGUCGGAAUCGCUAGUAAUCGCGGAUCAGCAUGCCGCGGUGAAUACGUUCCCGGGCCUUGUACACACCGCCCGUCACACCAUGAGAGUUUGUAACACCCAAAGUCGGUGGGGUAACCUUUUAGAACCAGCC
rnacentral:rRNA from 2 species